rnacentral:tRNA from 1 species
GGGCGGGUAGCUCAGCUGGCAGAGCACCGGCGUCACAAGCCGGGGGCCACAGGUUCAAGCCCUGUUCCGCCCACCA